UGCCCAAUCGUGGGGGAUAACGCAGCGAAAGCUGUGCUAAUACCGCAUACGAUCUACGGAUGAAAGCGGGGGACCUUCGGGCCUCGCGCGAUUGGAGCGGCCGAUGUUAGAUUAGGUAGUUGGUGGGGUAAAGGCUCACCAAGCCGACGAUCUAUAGCUGGUCUGAGAGGACGACCAGCCACACUGGAACUGAGACACGGUCCAGACUCCUACGGGAGGCAGCAGUGGGGAAUUUUGGACAAUGGGCGCAAGCCUGAUCCAGCAAUACCGCGUGCAGGAAGAAGGCCUUCGGGUUGUAAACUGCUUUUGUACGGAACGAAAAGGCUCUUUUUAAUAAAGAGGGCUCAUGACGGUACCGUAAGAAUAAGCACCGGCUAACUACGUGCCAGCAGCCGCGGUAAUACGUAGGGUGCGAGCGUUAAUCGGAAUUACUGGGCGUAAAGCGUGCGCAGGCGGUUUUGUAAGACAGACGUGAAAUCCCCGGGCUCAACCUGGGAAUUGCGUUUGUGACUGCAAGGCUAGAGUACGGUAGAGGGGGGUAGAAUUCCGCGUGUAGCAGUGAAAUGCGUAGAUAUGCGGAGGAACACCGAUGGCGAAGGCAGCCCCCUGGACCUGUACUGACGCUCAUGCACGAAAGCGUGGGGAGCAAACAGGAUUAGAUACCCUGGUAGUCCACGCCC
rnacentral:rRNA from 1 species